rnacentral:rRNA from 1 species
UCCUACGGGAGGCAGCAGUGGGGAAUAUUGGGAUGAAGGCCUUCGGGUUGGAAGCGAAAGUGACGGUACCUGCAGAAGAAGCACCGGCUAACUACGUGCCAGCAGCCGCGGUAAUACGUAGGGUGCAAGCGUUGUCCGGAUUUAUUGGGCGUAAAGAGCUCGUAGGCGGUGCCUGCAUUCGAUACGGGCUGACUAGAGUAUUGUAGGGGAGACUGGAACUCCUGGUGUAGAAUGCGCAGAUAUCAGGAAGAACACCGGUGGCGAAGGCGGGUCUCUGGGCACUGACGCUGAGGAGCGAAAGUGUGGGGAGCAAACAGGAUUAGAUACCCUGGUAGUCCACACCGUAAACGGUGGGCGCUAGGUGUGGGGAUCGCAUUAAGCGCCCCGCCUGGGGAGUACGGCCGCAAGGCUAAAACUCAAAGGAAUUGACGG